UCCCUUAAAAAUUGUCCUUUCUCUCUCUAGAAACUGAAUAUGACGCCCCUUUUUCUUCUUCCUGCAUUGCAUUCUUCUUCACCAUUUUCAUGACGAUUAAACCUCUCCGACUAGAUAAUCAAGUUUUUGUAUCUUAACAAUGCUAAAUGUCAACAAAUUGGAUAAUAAAAGAACAGAGCCAUCAAUAAGCUAUUGGAACCUCAGAGGUUAACUAUGAGACAGUAGCAGGAAAUAACGAAUGGUGGGUUCAGGUUGGGGAAAAUUAGAGAGUUGUACGAAGGUGAGGCUGUAUGUUCACAUGCAAACAUAUAUCGUGAAAGAGUUAUAAAUGAAGCUCAUCACUUUGUCGACAACAAAAAGAAGAUAUAUAUGUGAAAAUUCUAGUUGUUUGUUUCUUUUGUUUUGUUUGGUGUUAAGCUUUUGGUUAAGUGUUUGGGUGAAAAUGUUUAGAACAUGAAUCGAAUUGAUGGUUAAUGUUUUUUCGGUUGUUUGUCAUAUUAUAAAAAAAUAAAUUUUUGGUGGU
rnacentral:lncRNA from 1 species